GAUGAACGCUGGCGGCGUGCCUAAUACAUGCAAGUCGAGCGAACGGACGAGGAGCUUGCUCCUCUGACGUUAGCGGCGGACGGGUGAGUAACACGUGGAUAACCUACCUAUAAGACUGGGAUAACUUCGGGAAACCGGAGCUAAUACCGGAUAAUAUAUUGAACCGCAUGGUUCAAUAGUGAAAGACGGUUUUGCUGUCACUUAUAGAUGGAUCCGCGCUGCAUUAGCUAGUUGGUAAGGUAACGGCUUACCAAGGCAACGAUGCAUAGCCGACCUGAGAGGGUGAUCGGCCACACUGGAACUGAGACACGGUCCAGACUCCUACGGGAGGCAGCAGUAGGGAAUCUUCCGCAAUGGGCGAAAGCCUGACGGAGCAACGCCGCGUGAGUGAUGAAGGUCUUCGGAUCGUAAAACUCUGUUAUUAGGGAAGAACAUAUGUGUAAGUAACUGUGCACAUCUUGACGGUACCUAAUCAGAAAGCCACGGCUAACUACGUG
rnacentral:rRNA from 1 species